rnacentral:rRNA from 1 species
AUACGUAGGGUGCAAGCGUUAAUCGGAAUUACUGGGCGUAAAGCGUGCGCAGGCGGUUUUGUAAGACAGUGGUGAAAUCCCCGGGCUCAACCUGGGAACUGCCAUUGUGACUGCAAGGCUGGAGUGCGGCAGAGGGGGAUGGAAUUCCGCGUGUAGCAGUGAAAUGCGUAGAUAUGCGGAGGAACACCGAUGGCGAAGGCAAUCCCCUGGGCCUGCACUGACGCUCAUGCACGAAAGCGUGGGGAGCAAACAGGAUUAGAUACCCUGGUAGUCCACGCCCUAAACGAUGUCAACUGGUUGUUGGGGAUUUAUUUUCUCAGUAACGAAGCUAACGCGUGAAGUUGACCGCCUGGGGAGUACGGCCGCAAGGCUUAAACUCAAAGGAAUUGACGGGG